rnacentral:rRNA from 1 species
UACAGAGGUCCCAAGCGUUGUUCGGAUUCACUGGGCGUAAAGGGUGCGUAGGCGGUCAUUUAAGUCUGACGUGAAAUCUCCGGGCCUAACCCGGAAACUGCGUUGGAAACUAUCUGACUAGAGGAAUGGAGGGGAGACUGGAAUACUUGGUGUAGCAGUGAAAUGCGUAGAUAUCAGGUGGAACACCAGUGGCGAAGGCGAGUCUCUGGACAUUUCCUGACGCUGAGGCACGAAAGCCAGGGGAGCAAACGGG